rnacentral:rRNA from 1 species
AUUGAACGCUGGCGGCAGGCCUAACACAUGCAAGUCGAGCGGAUGAAGGGAGCUUGCUCCUGGAUUCAGCGGCGGACGGGUGAGUAAUGCCUAGGAAUCUGCCUGGUAGUGUUGGAUAACGUCCGGAAACGGGCGCUAAUACCGCAUACGUCCUGAGGGAGAAAGUGGGGGAUCUUCGGACCUCACGCUAUCAGAUGAUCCUAGGUCGGAUUAGCUAGUUGGUGGGGUAAAGGCCUACCAAGGCGACGAUCCGUAGCUGGUCUGAGAGGAUGAUCAGUCACACUGGAACUGAGACACGGUCCAGACUCCUACGGGAGGCAGCAGUGGGGAAUAUUGGACAAUGGGCGAAAGCCUGAUCCAGCCAUGCCGCGUGUGUGAAGAAGGUCUUCGGAUUGUAAAGCACUUUAAGUGGGGAAGAAGAGCAGUAAGUUAAUACCUUGCUGUUUUGACGGUACCAAAAGAAUAAGCACCGGCUAACUUCGUG